CUACAUUCUGCUAUCUUCCCACCUCUUCCCUUGCAUAUGAGCUCUCCAAAUAUCCGGGCCUCUGUGCUUCACUCACAAGAAUCUAAAAGACAUCACAGCCACAUGGAGCUUUCUAUCACCUGGGCCUCUCUGUGGUUUGAAAGCUGCAACUAUUGACCCGAAUUUCUCCAAAGAAUAACUUCCUACGGGUAGAAUUGUGGACAUCAAGGUGUUUCAAAGACAUCUUUCAGGCACACACACCCCAGGCGGCUGUACUACGUUUGGAGUGAGAUUUUCUUUCUUCCUUUCUUUCUUUUAAAGAUUUUAUUUAUUUAUUAUAUAUAAGUAUACUGUAGCUCUCUUCAGACACACCAGAAGAGGGUGUCAGAUCUCAUCACAGAUGGUUGUGAGCCACCAUGUGGUUCCUGGGAUUUGAACUCAGGACCUUCGGAAGAACAGUCAGUGCUCUUAACCUCUGAGCCAUCUCUCCAGCCCGAGAUUUUCUUUCUUACUUAGACAAAAUAUAAAUGCUCUGGGGACCUCAGCUUGCUCUUGGAUGGGACACUGUGGCUUUAAGAAGCUCUGGGUUGAAGAGUGAGUUGGAGAGCUUUGAUUCUGGGGGUCCCCUUCUGGAGUUUGGGAUAAGGAUCAAUGUGGCAAAUACCUGGCAAGGAACUCUGGAUACAAAGGAACCGCAGAGGUCAAGCAUCUGCCCGCAUCCAAACCCUUCCUCACACCUGAAAUCAAGACCCCUUUUCCUGUGUGCCAAGCCCAAGGUGAUCUGGUCUCAACUACAAGGGCAGGAUGCUUGCUGCCCACGCAGCCUGCAUGGACGCAUGGUAGCUUUCCCUAAGCCCAGCUUCUUCCAGAAAGACAGAGACCACUGGAGACUCACCAUGCUCCCUUAGCAUGGAUUCCCUGAGAGUGCUCUGUCUGAGUCUAGUCUGCAAGAAGAGGGCCCCUCAUAUCUUCCUUGGGCAUCUUUUGGACCUGAUGUUCUUGGGAUGAGCAGGACAAGGGACCAAGCAUCACCCUUGACUUGCAUCACAGCUGGUACCAAGAUACUCAUCCCUGCCCCUUCUGCAGCCAUUGUGCUGGGGAGCAGUAGGGUCUAGAAACAUCUUCCCCACUUGCACUGGAUACUGCCAUGGCCUCUCCCUGCUCUGGAGACACACGGCCCUCAGGAAGCACUGAAAGAAGUAAUGAGACAGAGCGGCAAGACACUUGACAGCAGCCAGCCCUCCCAGCCUGAUGGCAUUCCCUGCCCUGUCCAGCAUCUGCUUCUGCAUCCUGAGCAAUGCACACUCCCUCUACAGAAGGUAGUUUGUCCCCUAUCCAAGGUGGGGAGGCUGGAGGGUUGUGGUUUGAGCACUUAGGACAGCUGCCACAUGCUAAAGAUGCACAAACAGCUUGGAGGCCGGGCUCCAGCUGGGAGUUGCCAGCAGUCCAGUCCCAGAGUGCAUUUUUGUAUUAAAGUCUUUCGGGUUACUUUUUGACUGGCUCUCAGACCCUGACGGUGAGUUUUACGUUGCUGAAUGUUGAGUCCAGUGUUUUCAUCUGCCCAGGUGUCUCUGCUGUGGAAAGUCUUUAGGAACCUAUCGGGGUUUCUCUUGGGACUUAGUCUUAUGGACUAAUGAUGCUAAAAUUCCUUCUUUGGACAGAGAGAUUAAGUGUCUAUUCCUCCCUCUAAGGUCCCAACAAAUCAAGGUGCAAUUCCACAGCAGUUCAGAGAGAACCAGAGUAUAUUUGGCCUAUAUACAGAGCAACCCGUGAGGGAUUACAGGCGGGAGCCCCGGGUGGCCUUAAAGAACCCCUACUGGGCAGUCUUCACCUGUCACAGCUGCCUCCACCACGGCUGUGUAGAUGGAGUUGGCUCCCCUUGUCCUUCCACACAUAUAUACUCUAGCUAGCACUUCCCUCGGGCAACAUGCAAUCUAGACGGAAUCUGAUUGGGAGGAAUGGCUGGAUGCUCAGGUGAAGAUCCCUGACCCACCCACCCCUCCUUCUAUAUAAAGGAAUAGCAACAGUCAACAAGCCCGCCAUAGUGAGAGAUUUCAAGAGACCCAGCAGACCUGAAGACGCGGCGGCGGCUUGGCUCCGAGGAUAGCCCUGCACAGCACUCCGAUCCUUUUGCCUCCUGCUCCUGUAUCCUUUCCACCCCUCCUUUCUGCAGGGGUCCGUGGUCCUUGGAGGGAGUAAUAAAGAUGUCUGACUGUUCUCCA
rnacentral:lncRNA from 1 species